rnacentral:rRNA from 1 species
CGCAAGAUUAAAACUCAAAUGAAUUGACGGGGGCCCGCACAAGCGGUGGAGCAUGUGGUUUAAUUCGAUGCAACGCGAAGAACCUUACCUACUCUUGACAUCCAGAGAACUUUCCAGAGAUGGAUUGGUGCCUUCGGGAACUCUGAGACAGGUGCUGCAUGGCUGUCGUCAGCUCGUGUUGUGAAAUGUUGGGUUAAGUCCCGCAACGAGCGCAACCCUUAUCCUUGUUUGCCAGCGAGUCAUGUCGGGAACUCCAGGGAGACUGCCGGUGAUAAACCGGAGGAAGGUGGGGACGACGUCAAGUCAUCAUGGCCCUUACGAGUAGGGCUACACACGUGCUACAAUGGCGCAUACAGAGGGCGGCCAACUUGCGAGAGUGAGCGAAUCCCAAAAAGUGCGUCGUAGUCCGGAUCGGAGUCUGCAACUCGACUCCGUGAAGUCGGAAUCGCUAGUAAUCGUGGAUCAGAAUGCCACGGUGAAUACGUUCCCGGGCCUUGUACACACCGCCCGUCACACCAUGGGAGUGGGCUGCAAAAGAAGUAGGUAGUUUAACCUUUCGGGGAGGACGCU